rnacentral:rRNA from 1 species
UACGGAGGGUGCAAGCGUUAUCCGGAUUCACUGGGUUUAAAGGGUGCGUAGGUGGGAAUGUAAGUCAGUGGUGAAAUCUCCGUGCUUAACAUGGAAACUGCCAUUGAUACUAUGUUUCUUGAAUCUUCCGGAGGUCAGCGGAAUAUGUCAUGUAGCGGUGAAAUGCUUAGAUAUGACAUAGAACACCAAUUGCGAAGGCAGCUGACUACAGGAGCAUUGACACUGAGGCACGAAAGCGUGGGGAGCAAACAGG